rnacentral:lncRNA from 1 species
AGUUGGGGGCGGGACCGAGGGCCGCCGAGCGCAAGGAGGAGACUGAGGAGCAGAGAAGUAACAGCGGGUAAUGUUUCAAGGGAUGACUAAGAGAAGAUGUCAGCGGACUUGAAGAGCUGUCAGCUCCAUUAGGGGAGAUGAGCGAAGGCUGACUCUCUGCCAGCUGCAGUUCCCUCUGCCUGGAAUGCUGUUCCCCCAAGACCCCAGGUGGCUCCUUCUCCAUCUUGCUCCGAAGUCUUCUCCUGAGCGGUGAGGCAGAUUUCCUGAUGAGCACGGCUCCCUUCUCGGAAGCACUUUGUCUGUCUCCUGUACUAGAACGCCAGCUCCACAAGGGCAAGGCGGUUGUUGAUCUUAUUUCUCUCUGUCCCCUCCUAUCUGACACUGUGCCUGGCACAUGGUGGAUGUUCCCAGGAAGUUUCUGGAAUGAGCAGAUGUCUGGGUGUUUCAUUCUCCCAACAGCUGCAAGAGAAGGACUCUAAAGACCCCAUGGAAAGAUGGGCUCUGAGGGUUACAGUGCUGGCCAGAGGUCCCAUAGCCAGGACCUGAGCUCAUUCUGCACAUGAUGCGCUCCUUCUUAACUCAUCACACCCAGCAGCAGACCCAAGGCCCUGGGACCAUGAGAACUGCCUCUGCCCGGGGAAGACCAGCUCACCUGGUCUUCAAGCCCCCACUGCCCUAGCCCGGGGUCGGUUACCUGCACGGCACCCCUGGACAAGGAAGCUCUGGGCCUACCAGCUGAGCUAGAUCUGUCAGCCCUUUUGUUUUUAGAAGCUUCUGGGGGGCCUUGUGGCCAGGCGUUGAAACAAAGGUGUCUGUGUUUCCCUAAGUCCAUUUGGAUUUCAUCCUACUUGCGUUUCACAGGAGGGAAAAUCUACAUUUUUCAUCCAAGAUGAUGCCUUAUCUGACAAGCAUGUGCUGUGAUGGGACUGUAGGUGCUGUGGCUGAAAGGCACCCCCAGGUCUAGAGAAGAGGUUGUUUCAGAUUCCCCUGUGAGCUGGAAGUGGUGGGAGGAGAGCAGGCUUCCUUAUCCCAGUGUCAUGACCAGGCCAAGCCAGCCCUGCACCCUCUUCACCAAGGCCCUGCCUAGCUCUGCUCCCAGGGUGGGCUGGGCUGGGAAACAAGUCAGGGGGUCCAUAGUACAGCUGGGGGCCCCUCCUUCAGGGGAAAGGCGCAAUCGUGCUUCUCAGGAACCAGCUUCAGAUGGAUCCCAGAGGGGCGGGAGGGAGGGGACUGGUCUUCCCUCCUACCACACUGGCAUUCUUUCCUCGAAACCUUGCAAAAUAUGACUGUGCGGCUCCCUGCUGUGGCCCAGCACUUGUGGCAUCAUUGAAAUGCCAGUAGGGGCUGGCACCGGGCCGCCCACGGCCCCAGCAGGCACUGUCCCUGCUGCCCUGGGCUAUGAGGAGCCGAGCGGGUGGGCCCCUCCCACUUCGUCUGAGGCUCAAGAAUGCUGUCAUCUGGCCACCCACAGCUUUAUCAGUGUGGCCUUUCUCAGGAUCACUGGGACAAAGGGCGUGGGCGUCUUCAGGACUCUGGGGGAUUCUGGGAAUGUCUCCGCCUUCCCAAAUCGCCAGUUCCCGGAGCAGGACAGGAACCUCACCCACCUCCUUACUAAAGGAGAAACUGAGGCCCAGAGCGGGGUAGGGACUUGUCUGAGGUCAUGCCUGCUUUGUUGGUGAGAAUUGGACCUUACUUACCAUUUCUGGGUCACAGGCUCCUUUGACAAUGUGAAGGAAAUUCUAGACCAUUACUCCGAUGCCCAAGGGCCAGGCCUGCAGUGUCGAUGGCUGGUAUGGCCUGCUGAGCAUGGGCUUUGUCUGGAGCCCAUGUCCCCCACCUCUGGCUCACUGUGGCCCUGCAGGGCACCCAGUCGUCCAGUGUUUCAGAGGAGCCAAUGAGCCAUCUUUCUGUGUGAAAACUACUCAUGUUCAAAUGUUGGCAAUGCAUUAAAAAUGUAAAACUAGG